ensembl:lncRNA
AUGAACUUUAUCUUGUUGCUUGACUCAACGAGCUUUGGGAUUUAGAAACUAAAUCAGAGCCAUUAGUGUGUGGCUUUACUUUUUAAUAGGAAAAUGUUUCGCAUAGGUCCAGCAGUGUUCGCCUUAGGGUUGUUUAACACUUUCUUAUGCGUCUGAGAUACCUAAUGUGGAGCGUUCCUUGAGUAACACAGAAUACAAACAAUUAUUUCAGACAUUUCAAAAAUGAAGUGCUACCAGCUUCAUUGUGUUCCUCUGCUCUGGAGGGGUGGCUUGACUGAUAGGAAUAUUUUUCGAGCUCCUUGUAUACGUUGCCGAAAAGAUUAUACCAGUUACUCUCCAUCCAGCACUCACUGACCCCACAUCAUUUCUGGUGGCCCGUACAGGGACUUACUUCAUCGGCUUGUGAGCUCGAGUUCUGGUAAGUGCCCCUUUUCCUUGUGCCUUUCUCUUUUUCGAGGAUGGAUCUAAAUUCACUUCUCCAUUGGAAACUUUCUUGGAUGGCUGUAUGAAUUCAUGUUUGCUGCCCAUGGCUACUCUAUGGGGUAAAUCGUGGCAUUCAGCUUGAAGAGAAUCAGUACCUUAAGCCUCAGGGUGAUGGAGAAUGAAUUAAUCCAUUCCUUCCUGACUCUAUCUCUAAUAGACAAAUUUUACGUGGGCGCAGGUCUACCACUUAAGUCAUUAGGAUGGUCGCCAAUCUCCAAGACUCCUGUGGAAGGUUUCUUUUCCUAAGGCUGGAUUGGAAUCCCUCCCAUGGCACCUGACCAUGCUCUGAACUGAGGGAAAGUCCCAAUCGGGACUCCAGUUCAAGGAAAAUACCAAACUCUAACCUUUGGUGGAGUAUGGGAACCCCUUCUUGGGAGAAUGGCUCCAGGAUGCAAUUGGGUAGAAUGUCCCCCAGACUGGCAGAAAAUUCCUCACUGUUUUUCUCUAUCCUUUAUCCUGGGGACCAUUCACCAGGCACCUAUUACUGCCAGGCAUAAUAGGGAAGAUGUUCAAGGGAUGCCCCCAUCAUCCCUUGCUACAGGAACCCCAUUGGGGGGAUUUUCAAGGUAAUGGCUCCUUUUCUUUCAUCUCUCUUAAAGUUUUCCUUUUCUCUCAGGGACCAUUCACCAGGCACCUGUUAUUGCCAGGCAUAACAGGGAAGGUAUACAAGGGAUGCAAUGCCGGGGGAUGCCCCCAUCACCCCUUGCUAUAGGAACCCCACAGUAGGAACAAUGGCAGGAUGCUGCCCUAGGUUCAGGGGGGAUUUUUCAAGGUAAUGGACCUGUUUCUUUCAUCUCUCUUAGAGUUACAAUGGCCAUUUUUGUCUCCUUUUGAGCUUUGCAACCGGGAAACAAAGAAAUCUUUAAAGAGUCAAAGGCUCCACCCCUGGGAGCCCCAACUUUGGGUUUCUGGGCCUGACCACCCCAGCGACCCUAAGUGGGGGUGCCCUCUCUUGACGGUUAACUCAUUGAGUAUUUUAGUCACCUACUGAGUCAGUUAUGAGGGUAGGAGACCUGUGAUUUAUUCUGUGAACUGUCGUGCUAGGGUAGUGUGUCCCAGCACGGGAACUGUUGUGUGACUCUUAUCUUGAUAACCCUCUGGAAGAGGCCAUGAGGGCGAGGUCUGAUCUCUUCUUUUCCUUUCUUUGUCUGUCUUCUUCAUCACCUGCUUUGUUGUCACCAAGUCGAGGUUAAGUUCAGGCUGGACCUGAGCAGAACCUUGACCUUCUGUAAAAUUGAAAAAAUAAGCCUUUUGCCAGGGAUUUAACUCUCAACCCUGACGCUGGGAGCCCCGGCCUCCAGCCAGUUCCAGACCUUUGUGUCCUGCUUCCCUACCUCAACUGUGCUGGCUCGGAGACAAAGUGCCCAGGCUGAGCGGGACUUGACUAAAUCUUAUAACUAUGUCAACACCGGCAAUCAGCCUCUGCACACCCGCAAUUGGCCUCUGCACCCUUUCUCCAGCUGCUGUCAGUCAGACACAGGCUUUACUGUCACAGGGAAGGCCCCCUAAGUAUCCCCAGAGACCCACCCUGCGGAUGCAUUCUAACUCCAUCUGGGAGAAAAUUUGAGGGGUUUCUCUGUGCCUUUAUGAUGUAGUUGGACAGGUAGAUCAGCCUAGAACGUCAUUCAAGUUACAAUCCAGUUUCUGGGAAAUCAAGAGCAACUGUCCUUAGAAAAUCCUUGCAAGACUGGAAAUACAGCUCUAGAGGCAGUUCAGAUUCCACCUAGUUCCUUUAUCACAAAAAGGAUUAUCAUCUCCCCUCUCCAGGAACUACUAUCUAGCCUAUCAUUAAUUCCUAAGACUGAAGAAAAAAAAAAAGAGGAGGGGAGAGGAAAAACGGCCAUAAGCGUGCCCUUGCAGAAAGUCUAGCAUCUUGAGUGUCUUCUCCGCAAAUAUUGGUAAAAGAAACCAAAACAAUAGCUGUACAGUCUCUGUGUACGUGUGUCUAUGUGUACAUUAUAUGUGUGAUAUUUUACCUCCGGUUGGUAUUGCCAAAAUUAAGAGCUCUGUUCAAUUGGCUUAAAGUAAGCG